rnacentral:hammerhead_ribozyme from 1 species
AUCCAGCUGAUGAGUCGUACGUAGGACGAAAUGCGCAUCUUGGAU